rnacentral:rRNA from 1 species
UACAGAGGUCUCAAGCGUUGUUCGGAUUCAUUGGGCGUAAAGGGUGCGUAGGUGGCGGGGUAAGUCAGGUGUGAAAUCUCGGAGCUCAACUCCGAAACUGCACUUGAUACUGCCUUGCUCGAGUACUGGAGAGGAGAUUGGAAUUUACGGUGUAGCAGUGAAAUGCGUAGAUAUCGUAAGGAAGACCAGUGGCGAAGGCGAAUCUCUGGACAGUUACUGACACUGAGCACGAAGGCCAGGGGAGCAAACAGG